UACGUAGGGUGCGAGCGUUAAUCGGAAUUACUGGGCGUAAAGCGUGCGCAGGCGGUCUGUUAAGACCGAUGUGAAAUCCCCGGGCUUAACCUGGGAACUGCGUUUGAAACUGGAAGGCUUGAGUGUGGCAGAGGGGGGUGGAAUUCCACGUGUAGCAGUGAAAUGCGUAGAUAUGUGGAGGAACACCGAUGGCGAAGGCAGCCCCCUGGGCUAACACUGACGCUCAUGCACGAAAGCGUGGGGAGCAAACAGG
rnacentral:rRNA from 1 species